CCUCAGCCCUGAGAAAGCUCCUUCUUUCCGGCUCCUCCGAGGGGAUACCCCAGUGUCCUUGACCCCAAACUCGUGACCCCUAAGUCCAGGGAAGACCCCUUCCCUCAGCCCCAACACCAGACCUCCUCACCUCACCUGAUCCCCGCCAGUCACUUCUGCCGGGACCGGAUCAUCUGGGCCGUGUCCCCACAGCUGUCCCCAAGUCCUCCCGCCUCAUCUCCGGAGACCAGGGAGCAGCAGACGGUUCCAACGGACUUUCUGUCUUAAAGGGGCAUGAGCGUCUCACUCAGCAUCACCACUGGACCAGCUCAGACAAUAAUUAAACAUCCCAAACCUGCAAUUCGAACAAAGAAGCUCGUCAGUGGAGUCCAUCCAUCCACAAAGGACAUUGGAAAGAGUCAAACUGCUCCUUCUCAUUGACAAAAACCAUGUGUUUAAUGUCAGGUCUUCAAUAUGCAACGUGUAGUAAGAGCUCAUUUCUCUGAGCAUACAUUCUUGAAGAAAUAUAAACUUUCUUUGGAUGUCAAAUUAUUUACUAGAAAAAAAAUUUUAUGAAGGGAAAAUACUAUAUGUGAGUUUAAAUAGGAGACAGGAUUCAAAUUUUCAUCAUUUCACAAAAUGCAUCUCCAUCUGAAUUGUCAUGUGAUUUUUGUGAUAGAGAAGAGAAUGAGGAGCAAGUGAGAGUCCAUGUUCCUGUUAAGCCCUGGCCGUCCUUCUCAUCCACAUGCUGCCUGUGGAAAACACGCCUGGGGCUCCCCUGAGCCUGCUUAUGCUGUGUGUCACCUGGAUAGUUCUGCAAGCGACUCAUAUGCAAUAGGAAGUAAACACCGACAUCGUGAAUGAAUGAAGAAACUACCACAAAGAGGAAACAGAGGCACUUUUGUCCCUGAGCGUCAUUCUAACCGUGGGAGCGUGGGUCCUGAGGUCUAAACUCUCAGCUGUGAGUAGUAAUUUGUGGCAUGAUAGUGAGGUGAAAUGACAGAGGCUCAUGACACAUCAUUGCAGAAUAUCCAUUAGACUUUCACAAGUCACCGUCAUGGAUUUCAGGAUCUGACUGCUCAUCACCAUGGGAGACAUCAGGAUCUGACUGCUCGUCACCAUGGGAGACCUCAGGAUCUGACUGCUCAUCAUCACAGGAGAUGUCAGGAUCUGACUUCUCGUCACCACGGGAUACCUCAGGAUCUGACUGCUCGUCACCAUGGCAGACAUCAGGAUCUGACUGCUCAUCACCAUGGGAGAUGUCAGGAUCUGACUGCUCAUCACCACGGGAGACUUCAGGAUCUGACUGCUCGUCAUCACGGGAGACGUCAGGAUCUGACUGCUCGUCACCAUGGGAGACGUCAGGAUCUAACUGCUUUUCUUCACGGGAGACGUCAGGUUCUGAGUUCCUGAAUGUAUCCUCCAUCUACAGGAGAGAGGGGGCUCUGGUCUUGACUUGGCUUUCUCCUUUCUUUGCUGGUGGAAGCUGGGUUUCGAUGAGUAACUUCUUCUGGCACACUAAGGUCUACUCACAGCAAAUGUAAAGUCCUAGAGGUCGACGGCCUUGAUGACUGCCUUUCCUGACCUUGUACUCUUUCUAGAGUUUAAUUUAAUACAAAGCAAAACAAUUUUGAUGAUGGCCUCUGCCUGACUGCUGGAACCCACCAUGUGCAGGAAUUCAUGACUGAGUGACAGCAGGGGCACUUCCCUCAUCACACAUGAUGCACAGGCCACCCAGCGAGGCACCUCAUCUCCAGGUUGACAGUUCCUGGCUGACUCGGGUCUGCCACCUGGAAGAGCAUCUGUAAUUCUGUAUUGUGGAACAGAAAACAAUGUGCAGAAUACAUUCUUUAAAACAAGUACAA